rnacentral:rRNA from 1 species
GCCUACGGGGGGCUGCAGUCGAGAAUCUUCGGCAAUGGGCGCAAGCCUGACCGAGCGACGCCGCGUGCGGGAUGAAGGCCUUCGGGUUGUAAACCGCUGUCAGAGGGGAGGAAAUGCAUGGGAGUUCUCUCUCAUGUUUGACCUAUCCUCAGAGGAAGUACGGGCUAAGUUCGUGCCAGCAGCCGCGGUAAUACGAACCGUACGAACGUUAUUCGGAUUCACUGGGCUUAAAGCGUGCGUAGGCGGCUGGGAAAGUUGGGUGUGAAAGCCCUCGGCUCAACCGAGGAAUUGCGCCCAAAACUACCUGGCUUGAGGAAGAUAGAGGUAAGCGGAACUAAUGGUGGAGCGGUGAAAUGCGUUGAUAUCAUUAGGAACACCUGUGGCGAAAGCAGCUUACUGGGUCUUAUCUGACGCUGAUGCACGAAAGCUAGGGGAGCGAACGGGAUUAGAUACCCUGGUAGUCC